AAAUUUGGGGGUGGGGGGUUGGGGUUGGGCAUUGGACUUUGGUCCGGAUUUAGCCCAACCAAUUAAUUGGGCCGAGCCAGAGACCGCGACGUUCGAGCCGCAAAAAGACGCUCGAAGAAUCCACAUCUUCCUGCGCCAAGGCCGAAUCCCUAAAGCAGUGAACCCUAAUAAGAACGGCUCCGCCUCUCGACUCUUCGGAUCGCUCAACCCAUCUCUUCCCCUGCCGCCCUCGUCUCGAAGAUAUGUCAGCUUACAAUGGGCUCUGCCAGCUUGCAAAUGGCAAAUUCAAGAAUCUAUUCCUUUAGUGCAGUGCUGGAUGUUAUUCAACUGUGCUGCAAACCCAAAUUGAUAGACUUGUGAGGAAGGAUCAGAUCCUUUUAUGUUGAUGCUUCUUUCUUGUAAUGUAGGCUCUGUCAUCAGAACCUAUUGUGAACUCCUAUUGUCUUGUGAAUUUGGAGAGUUGAGUAUUCAUACUUUUACAGUAA